UACAGAGGUCUCGAGCGUUGUUCGGAUUCAUUGGGCGUAAAGGGUGCGUAGGCGGCGGGGUAAGUCGGAUGUGAAAUCCCGGGGCUCAACCCCGGAACUGCAUUCGAUACUGCCUUGCUAGAGUACUGGAGAGGAGACUGGAAUUUACGGUGUAGCAGUGAAAUGCGUAGAUAUCGUAAGGAAGACCAGUGGCGAAGGCGAGUCUCUGGACAGUUCCUGACGCUGAGGCACGAAGGUCAGGGGAGCAAACGGG
rnacentral:rRNA from 1 species